AACGAACGCUGGCGGCAUGCCUAACACAUGCAAGUCGAACGAAGGCUUCGGCCUUAGUGGCGCACGGGUGCGUAACGCGUGGGAAUCUGCCCUUAGGUUCGGAAUAACAGUUGGAAACGACUGCUAAUACCGGAUGAUGACGAAAGUCCAAAGAUUUAUCGCCUGAGGAUGAGCCCGCGUAGGAUUAGCUAGUUGGUGUGGUAAGAGCGCACCAAGGCGACGAUCCUUAGCUGGUCUGAGAGGAUGAUCAGCCACACUGGGACUGAGACACGGCCCAGACUCCUACGGGAGGCAGCAGUGGGGAAUAUUGGACAAUGGGCGAAAGCCUGAUCCAGCAAUGCCGCGUGAGUGAUGAAGGCCUUAGGGUUGUAAAGCUCUUUUACCCGGGAUGAUAAUGACAGUACCGGGAGAAUAAGCUCCGGCUAACUCCGUGCCAGCCGCCGCAGUAACAC
rnacentral:rRNA from 1 species